GGAAGAAAUUAUGAUAUCCACCUAUAUAGUAUCAAAAGAUAUAGAAGAGAUCAAUUUAAAUUUUGAAACUUUUAUAAAUAUAAGUGUUGGCUGUAUAUGUUAUGAUAUAUUUUUUAUGCAUGAAUUGUUUUAGUCAAAUAAAAGGAAAGAAAUAAAAGAUUUAUUUCCAUUAUUACCUUAGAAAAAUGUUUUUUUUUUUGUGUAUUCCACAUUUCUAUAUAAAUGCGAUGUAAUAUAAUUUUAAACCAUUAAAUAUUCUUGUCUACUUUUGUGGGAAUUGUUCAAAACCUGUCUGGGUGCUGUGUGAGGUAAGGAGAAACCUUUUCCUCUGGAUGAUGACUUAGGCCUCGUUUAAGAUUUGAUAGGUGUAUGAUGUGGUUCUAUAGUUUUCAUUUCUCUCAUUCUGUGGUAAUUGUUCCAACGUCUUAUGUUCAUAUUGUAAAAUAAUAUCUGGACUAGGCUUGUUCAAAUUCUCUUGUUUGUGGUCUUGAUAUUCAUUGCAAUAUUCCCUAUUAUUCUUCACUGUACCUGUUACUAACUGCGCUGCGUGAUUGUUUAUGUUUGUUUGGGGAUGGAAUUCGAAUUUGAUUAUUUGAAUAUAUAGUAUAUACAUUUCAAAUUAGUUUAUUGUGGUUUGAGAUUAUUUUACAUUGUUAUACUUUGUCUCUAAAUAAUUCUAGGAUUUCAAAUCAUGAUCAUAAAGAGACAAUCUACAAGGGAUGUACGUGGGUACCUCCAAAUUGUGCUGAAUAGGUUUCCUGAUAAUCGUGAAAUAUAUGAUAAAAUUACCAAGCUCUUGAAGGACUUGAGACUUGCAAGACUUCGUUCUACUUACAAUGAUGUCAUAUCAAAGGUGAGUCAACUCUUUAAGGAACACAAAGACCUGCUUUUGGGUUUCAAUAAGUUCUUGCCGCCGGGCUAUAAGAUAACACUCCCGAAGGAUCAAACUCAACGAAGGAAGCCUGAGUUUCGGGAUGCUGCUGAAUUUAUCAACAAGGUCAAGGUACGAACACUCGCCCAUGGUAGUAAAUUGGGAUAUAAAAUUUGACUAACGACUUGACUUUCAGUUUACUUUGUGCUAUAAAUAUUGAAAUCUUAAAAGAAAUAUAACACAGUUUGUAUUCUAGCCCUAGUAAUAAAUUAUAUUCAUCUUUUCUGUUUUACCAUCUCCCGUUAAAUAUAUCGGUUAUUCGCAGGAAAGGUUGCAAGACGAGCAUGCAUACAAAUCCUUGUUAGAGAUAUUUCGAAUGUUCAGAGAAAAUAAGAAGAGUCUUACUGAGGUCCAUCAUGAGGUAUAUAUAUAUAUAUAUGUGUGUGUGCGCGCGUGUGUUUCAGCACUAUCAUAAAAAAAACUAUUAAUACAUGUAUAAUAUUAAUACUUGUUUCUUCUUUAGUGUUCAUGUAUUGGGUUUGAUGAUUUUACCUUUAUUUUGUUAAGGAAAUGAUUACCUAUUUGCAGGUGUUGUAUGUCCUCCGAGACCACCAGGAUUUGCGUGUGGAUUUUGCAGCUUUUCUCCCUGCUCGCUAUAGAGAAGAUUGAGAUUGCAGUUGAAUAAUAUGUUGUUGUUGAUGACAAAACUUAUCAUUCAUUUCAGUUAUUUUUCAUACAAAACAGACACUCAUUUCAGCUACUUUUCGUCGUUUGAGUUUCAUAUUAUGGACAAUAUAUAUGGAUGAACUUAUAAAAGAAAAUUUUAAUCCU